GGCUGUGCACUUUCUCCAUAUGUAUAUUCUAUUAUUCAAUAUAAUGUAUUUCGAAAAGAUCUUUCAAAUUACCCUAGAAAAGAUUUCUUUUUGUAACCAUUUAUUAUAAGGCUAUGGGUACAUAAUUCGCAAAUAUUUUACGUGUAUCCCUACUUUUUCUGUCUUUACACGGCAAAUUACGUGUAGUAAAAUUGACACUGGCAUGGAUAUGUACAUGCCCCGCGCACUCUAAUAAAAAACAUGUAAUCGUAUUUAUUUUCCUUCCAUUUUGUCAGAGGCGCUGAUGUCGGCAUUGUGAUUGGUGGAACAUGACUUUUGACAAAUCCUGCGCUAUCUGUGAAUCUGUGUUCAGUGUUCGUUCGUUGUCGUUCAGUUAUUUUAUAUGGUCGGUUAUGUGAUGUGUUUGUGUCACCAUAAAAAGCUGAUAUUCAGUCGUGUUUUUAGAUAUUUUGUAGUCGAGUACCUUUUUAAAGGUCUAAUGGCUCCGUUCAGCUGUUGUGUGCAGACGGUGGAAAAGUUCAACAAGUAAACAUUUAUUUAAUCCAAAUUAAAUACUCAUAUUUCUAUGUAAAAUGUCACAUUAUUUUAUAAAUAAAUAAGUAAGAAACAAAA